rnacentral:rRNA from 1 species
AACGAACGCUGGCGGCACGCCUAACACAUGCAAGUCGAACGCGAACGGAACUUCGGUUCUUAUUAGAGUGGCGGACGGGUGAGUAACACGUGGGAACAUGCCUUUCGGUACGGAACAACCAUUGGAAACGAUGGCUAAUACCGUAUACGCCCUUCGGGGGAAAGAUUUAUCGCCGAAAGAUUGGCCCGCGCUAGAUUAGCUAGUUGGUAAGGUAAAAGCUUACCAAGGCGACGAUCUAUAGCUGGUUUGAGAGGAUGAUCAGCCACACUGGGACUGAGACACGGCCCAG